rnacentral:lncRNA from 1 species
AUGUAUAUGUGUAGGUGUCACGCCCCGGGGCCGAUUUUAAAAGCCUUUUUUAAAAUAGAGUUGCGGAAAACGUGCCAUUUUUUUUUUUUUUUUCAACCUGGCCCACGCGACGUACAGACCCGCCACAAAUACAAAGUUCCUCUGUCCACUCGGACAGAGUCUCCUUUGUAUUUGCACGGCGUACCAACGAUACAACAGGAUCACAACCACAAUCUACAUUUACCAAUCAACAACUAAGGCAUGAUAUGCAUUUCCAUACAGCUAACAAUCCUUAGAAUGAUGCAUGCCUCUAAGCACUCCUUAGGCGCUGGAUGAUGCAAUGCACAAUACAACAAACAUCCUAUUUAAAAGUGCUCCCCACACGGAAGCUUUUGUUUUUAAACUCUAAUUCAUUCAUUCAUAAAAACCAUUCGAAAACCUUUUUAAAACUGUUUCCCACACGGAAACUCUAUUUUGAAAACCGACUACCUCGAGGGGUAGAAAACCACGAUAUGUAAAUACAAGAAAAAUCCGAUAUCCAUAAAAUCAAUAUCCAAAUCCACAAACCUCAGUUUACAUGCAUAAAUAACGAAAGCAUCCCCAGAUCUACCAAAACCAGAUCACCAACACUCAAACAAUCAUAAAGAUCAGCUAACUGAACCAUAUAAACUAUCUAAGCUAUAUCAACAGGACAGUAAGGGUAGAAACUAAACCGAAUAACCUGAGUCGGAAGCUCUAGCGACCACUACGAACGUGUCUCACGUCUCGUCUCAACUCUCACCGCCGGCGAUACCUGAAAAAUAGUGGGGGAGGUGAGAACAUGUAAACAUGUCUCCCCUCCCAGUGGGUACCGCAAGCCGAUGAAGGCGAGGAGUACUCACCGGAUCAGGAAGAGCUAAACAACAGUACGGGUCAGUAGAAAUACAGUAGCAAUAAUAGUGAAUGAAAGAGACAUAUAUACGAAAGAAGUACAACUACCGCUACUGUAAUGGACAACUGAAUGUAUACAUGUAACAAGACUAUGUAAUGAAAGAACUGAAGGUAUACAAGCAACAACCGCUACUAUAGUUAUAUGCAUCAACCGGACGAGAAGUCCAAAUAUACCCAAUCUAGUACCUGCUAUAUUGGUCCGCAGACCUCAAGCGCUGCCUGUCACUAACCUGCACCGACCUGAUUCACCCGCCCCACAGGACGACCCAUCCGGAUAAGUACACCUCCGAUCGGUGGCCAAACCGAUCCGGUGUCGUGAAUACCCCCAAGUGCUGUGACUAAGUCAUGAUGGUAUGCUCAAUACAAAAACCGGCUGAAACCGGUGCCUAGGCCGAAGCCAGAAACAAGGACGUACAACGCCGAACCUCGAUCAACCAGAUCGAAACACAUGACGAGAGAGUCAAUGUGUUACCUGGACCCAAGGUCCACAGAGUCCAACCGACCAGCAAGGUCACUGAUACGAAGUACGAGAACUGACCAACCAGGUCAACAGAUACGGAAUGCACAACCAACCAACUAGGUCAACAGAUACUGAAUGCAACAACAGACCAACUAGGUCAACAGAUACAGAAUGCAACAACAGACCAACUAGGUCAACAGAUACAGAAUGCAACAACAGACCAACUAGGUCAACAGAUACAGAAUGCAACAACAGACCAACUAGGUCAACAGAUACAGAAUGCAACAACAGACCAACUAGGUCAACAGAUACAGAAUGCAACAACAGACCAACUAGGUCAACAGAUACAGAAUGCAACAACAGACCAACUAGGUCAACAGAUACAGAAUGCAACAACAGACCAACUAGGUCAACAGAUACAGAAUGCAACAACAGACCAACUAGGUCAACAGAUACAGAAUGCAACAACAGACCAACUAGGUCAACAGAUACAGAAUGCAACAACAGACCAACUAGGUCAACAGAUACAGAAUGCAACAACAGACCAACUAGGUCAACAGAUACGCAUGUAGAUAGAACUACUCUACUCCUACUCAGGAUACUAAGCAUGCAAACAACGAGUAGAGUAUAACGAAUAAACAAGGGUGCAAGGCUCAAUAUACUAUGCGAUAGUAACAACAGAAGAGUAAGGGUAAGAAACCGUCACCAAGCGUGCACCACUGUACC